GUCACACUUAGCUCAGUGGUAGAGUGUUGCAGGAUAAUAAAGGACGGCGAAAGUUAAUACAAUGCAUUCAAUGCAAAGGUCAGCCGUUCAAUUCGGCUAGGAGGCA
rnacentral:tRNA from 1 species